UUAACUGAAACCAAAAAGAGGUAUAUUACUGUUAAUAAUACAAUUGAAGCUAAUUCCAGUUAAA
rnacentral:tRNA from 1 species